GAUGAACGCUGGCGGCGUGCUUAACACAUGCAAGUCGAACGAAGAUGCCGGAGUGCUUGCACUUUGGCAGACUGAGUGGCGGACGGGUGAGUAACGCGUGGGUAACCUGCCUUAUACAGGGGGAUAACAGUUGGAAACGACUGCUAAUACCGCAUAAGCGCACGGUAUCGCAUGAUACAGUGUGAAAAACUCCGGUGGUAUAAGAUGGACCCGCGUCUGAUUAGCUUGUUGGUGAGGUAACGGCCCACCAAGGCGACGAUCAGUAGCCGGCCUGAGAGGGUGAACGGCCACAUUGGGACUGAGACACGGCCCAAAACUCCUACGGGAGGCAGCAGUGGGGAAUAUUGCACAAUGGGGGAAACCCUGAUGCAGCGACGCCGCGUGAGUGAUGAAGUAUUUCGGUAUGUAAAACUCUAUCAGCAGGGAAGAUAAUGACGGUACCUGACUAAGAAGCACCGGCUAAAAUACGUGCCAGCAGCC
rnacentral:rRNA from 1 species